GCAUAUCAAUAAGCGGAGGAAAAGAAACCAACCGGGAUUGCCUUAGUAACGGCGAGUGAAGCGGCAAAAGCUCAAAUUUGAAAUCUGGUACCUUCGGUGCCCGAGUUGUAAUUUGGAGAGGGCAACUUUGGGGCCGUUCCUUGUCUAUGUUCCUUGGAACAGGACGUCAUAGAGGGUGAGAAUCCCGUGUGGCGAGGAGUGCGGUUCUUUGUAAAGUGCCUUCGAAGAGUCGAGUUGUUUGGGAAUGCAGCUCUAAGUGGGUGGUAAAUUCCAUCUAAAGCUAAAUAUUGGCGAGAGACCGAUAGCGAACAAGUACAGUGAUGGAAAGAUGAAAAGAACUUUGAAAAGAGAGUGAAAAAGUACGUGAAGUUGUUGAAAGGGAAGGGCAUUUGAUCAGACAUGGUGUUUUGUGCCCUCUGCUCCUUGUGGGUAGGGGAAUCUCGCAUUUCACUGGGCCAGCAUCAGUUUUGGUGGCAGGAUAAAUCCAUAGGAAUGUAGCUUGCCUCGGUAAGUAUUAUAGCCUGUGGGAAUACUGCCAGCUGGGACUGAGGACUGCGACGUAAGUCAAGGAUGCUGGCAUAAUGGUUAUAUGCCGCCCGUCUUGAAACACGGACC
rnacentral:rRNA from 1 species